rnacentral:rRNA from 1 species
UACGGAGGGUGCGAGCGUUGUCCGGAAUCAUUGGGCGUAAAGGGCGUGUAGGUGGUUUCGUAAGUCUGGCGUGAAAUUUUUCGGCUUAACCGGGAAAGGUCGUCGGAUACUGCGGAACUAGAGGACGGUAGAGGCGUGUGGAAUUCCGGGUGUAGUGGUGAAAUGCGUAGAGAUCCGGAGGAACACCAGUGGCGAAGGCGACACGCUGGGCCGUACCUGACACUGAUGCGCGACAGCAUGGGGAGCAAACAGG